GCCGGUCCUCGGUAGUGGCCUCCGGAUGACACCACUCCGGGUGCUUCGAUCGAAGACCGGC
rfam:Streptomyces tsukubensis strain F601 Scaffold18_1, whole genome shotgun sequence.